rnacentral:rRNA from 1 species
ACUCCUACGGGAGGCAGCAGUGGGGAAUAUUGCACAAUGGGGGAAACCCUGAUGCAGCCAUGCCGCGUGUGUGAAGAAGGCCUUCGGGUUGUAAAGCACUUUCAGCGAGGAGGAAAAGGGGUGUAAGUUAAUACCUUACACNGUGACGCUACUCGCAGAAGAAGCACCGGCUAAACUCCGUGCCAGCAGCCGCGGUAAUACGGAGGGUGCGAGCGUUAAUCGGAAUUACUGGGCGUAAAGCGCAUGCAGGUGGCUUGUUAAGUCAGAUGUGAAAGCCCGGGGCUCAACCUCGGAAUUGCAUUUGAAACU